AGCUGCAGUCCUCCCCCAAACAUACCUUACGCAAUUCUGGAACAUUCUGGGGAUAAUUUGCUGGGAAGUGUAAGAAGAUAUAAGUGUUUGGAUACACACAUAGCCACUGGACCUAUAGAAAUUAUCUGUGUUCAAGGCACAGGGGGCCCCUUGUGGACAUCAUCAGAGUCCAAGUGUAUCAGCCGAGGAGUGAAAACAGUUUCUUUACAGUCUACAAACCUUACGUUAGAUAGAUAGACCAGGAUCAAACCCGCUGUCUUGAUGAAAAUUUCAACUGAAAGCUGAAAAGACGAUGGGUUUUCAGCCAAGGAAACACAACGUGACUACUUAUUUGAACUGUACAGUUGUUUGACAUUUUUUGACAUGCUAAAUGAUUUGCCCGCAAUAAAGUACACAGUUUGAAAAAAUAA